GAUGAACGCUGGCGGCGUGCUUAACACAUGCAAGUCGAACGGUGAAGGAGGAGCUUGCUCUUCUGGAUCAGUGGCGAACGGGUGAGUAACACGUGAGCAAUCUGCCCUUGACUCUGGGAUAACAGUUGGAAACAGCUGCUAAUACCGGAUACGAGACGUGACCGCAUGGUCAACGUCUGGAAAGAACUUCGGUCAAGGAUGAGCUCACGGCCUAUCAGCUAGUUGGUGAGGUAAUGGCUCACCAAGGCGACGACGGGUAGCCGGCCUGAGAGGGUGACCGGCCACACUGGGACUGAGAUACGGCCCAGACUCCUACGGGAGGCAGCAGUUGGGAAUCUUAGGCAAUGGACGAAAGUCUGACCUAGCGACGCCGCGUGAGGGAAGAAGGCCUUCGGGUUGUAAACCUCUGUCAUGGGGGAAGAAGUAAGUGACGGUACCCCAAGAGGAAGCCCCUGCUAACUACGUG
rnacentral:rRNA from 1 species